UGUGUGCAUUUAUACUAGUGCUCACAUGCUGUGGGUCAGUGUGCAGUGGAGACAGACUGGAUAUUCUUCUGUUCUACUAGUCAUGAUUGAAGCAGAGAGGUUCAUCCUCAUUGGCUGCCUGCUGCAAGGAGCUCUGGGCAGGGAUUUGGCAGUCUGGAUGCCUCAGAGUAUAGAAGCUCUGAGUGGAUCCUGUGUGCUGAUUCCCUGCAGAUUUGAUAUACACCCUCAAUAUGAAAAUGAUCUG